GGAGAGGAGGAGGAGAUAAGGAGGAGAGGAGAAGAGGAGAGGAGCAGCUCCUGAACAGAGGAGAUGUGAUCUGUCUCCUGCAGCUGUGAGUCUCUCUGCUGCUGAAUGUGAAGCUUUUGUUCCGCUUCCUCCUCUCCUCCUCUCCCUCCUCCUCUCUUUCCUCCUCCUCUCCUCAUGGAGGGCUGCUGUUUCCUGGUAGCAACUCUCUCUCUCGCUCUCUCUCUCUCUCUC